rnacentral:rRNA from 1 species
CCUACGGGUGGCAGCAGUGGGGAAUAUUGCACAAUGGGGGAAACCCUGAUGCAGCGACGCCGCGUGAGUGAAGAAGUAAUUCGUUACGUAAAGCUCUAUCAGCAGGGAAGAAAAUGACGGUACCUGAGUAAGAAUCACCGGCUAAUUCCGUGCCAGCAGCCGCGGUAAUACGCAGGGGGCCAGCGUUAUCCGGAUUUACUGGGUGUAAAGGGAGCGUAGACGGUGCGCCAAGUCUGGAGUGAAAUGCCGCAGCUUAACUGCGGAACUGCGUUGGAUACUGGCGAACUAGAGUGCAGGAGGGGUAAGCGGAAUUGCUAGUGUAGCGGUGAAAUGCGUAGAUAUUAGGCGGAACACCGGUGGCGAAGGCGGCUUACUGGGCCGUAACUGACGUUGAGGCUCGAAAGCGUGGGGAGCAAACAGGAUUAGAUACCCGAGUAGUC